AUUGAAUGCUGGCGGCAGGCCUAACACAUGCAAGUCGAAUGGUAACAGGAAACAGCUUGCUGUUUCGCUGACGAGUGGCGGACGGGUGAGUAAUGUCUGGGAAACUGCCUGAUGGAGGGGGAUAACUACUGGAAACGGUAGCUAAUACCGCAUAACGUCGCAAGACCAGAGAGGGGGACCUUCGGGCCUCUUGCCAUCAGAUGUGCCCAGAUGGGAUUAGCUAGUAGGUGGGGUAACGGCUCACCUAGGCGACGAUCCCUAGCUGGUCUGAGAGGAUGACCAGCCACACUGGAACUGAGACACGGUCCAGACUCCUACGGGAGGCAGCAGUGGGGAAUAUUGCACAAUGGGCGCAAGCCUGAUGCAGCCAUGCCGCGUGUAUGAAGAAGGCCUUCGGGUUGUAAAGUACUUUCAGCGGGGAGGAAGGGAGUAAAGUUAAUACCUUUGCUCAUUGACGUUACCCGCAGAAGAAGCACCGGCUAACUCCGUG
rnacentral:rRNA from 1 species